UUAAGCGACUAAGCGUACACGGUGGAUGCCCUGGCAGUCAGAGGCGAUGAAGGACGUGCUAAUCUGCGAUAAGCGUCGGUAAGGUGAUAUGAACCGUUAUAACCGGCGAUUUCCGAAUGGGGAAACCCAGUGUGUUUCGACACACUAUCAUUAACUGAAUCCAUAGGUUAAUGAGGCGAACCGGGGGAACUGAAACAUCUAAGUACCCCGAGGAAAAGAAAUCAACCGAGAUUCCCCCAGUAGCGGCGAGCGAACGGGGAGCAGCCCAGAGCCUGAAUCAGUGUGUGUGUUAGUGGAAGCGUCUGGAAAGGCGCGCGAUACAGGGUGACAGCCCCGUACACAAAAAUGCACAUGCUGUGAGCUCGAUGAGUAGGGCGGGACACGUGGUAUCCUGUCUGAAUAUGGGGGGACCAUCCUCCAAGGCUAAAUACUCCUGACUGACCGAUAGUGAACCAGUACCGUGAGGGAAAGGCGAAAAGAACCCCGGCGAGGGGAGUGAAAAAGAACCUGAAACCGUGUACGUACAAGCAGUGGGAGCACGCUUAGGCGUGUGACUGCGUACCUUUUGUAUAAUGGGUCAGCGACUUAUAUUCUGUAGCAAGGUUAACCGAAUAGGGGAGCCGAAGGGAAACCGAGUCUUAACUGGGCGUUAAGUUGCAGGGUAUAGACCCGAAACCCGGUGAUCUAGCCAUGGGCAGGUUGAAGGUUGGGUAACACUAACUGGAGGACCGAACCGACUAAUGUUGAAAAAUUAGCGGAUGACUUGUGGCUGGGGGUGAAAGGCCAAUCAAACCGGGAGAUAGCUGGUUCUCCCCGAAAGCUAUUUAGGUAGCGCCUCGUGAAUUCAUCUCCGGGGGUAGAGCACUGUUUCGGCAAGGGGGUCAUCCCGACUUACCAACCCGAUGCAAACUGCGAAUACCGGAGAAUGUUAUCACGGGAGACACACGGCGGGUGCUAACGUCCGUCGUCAAGAGGGAAACAACCCAGACCGCCAGCUAAGGUCCCAAAGUCAUGGUUAAGUGGGAAACGAUGUGGGAAGGCCCAGACAGCCAGGAUGUUGGCUUAGAAGCAGCCAUCAUUUAAAGAAAGCGUAAUAGCUCACUGGUCGAGUCGGCCUGCGCGGAAGAUGUAACGGGGCUAAACCAUGCACCGAAGCUGCGGCAGCGACGCUUAUGCGUUGUUGGGUAGGGGAGCGUUCUGUAAGCCUGCGAAGGUGUGCUGUGAGGCAUGCUGGAGGUAUCAGAAGUGCGAAUGCUGACAUAAGUAACGAUAAAGCGGGUGAAAAGCCCGCUCGCCGGAAGACCAAGGGUUCCUGUCCAACGUUAAUCGGGGCAGGGUGAGUCGACCCCUAAGGCGAGGCCGAAAGGCGUAGUCGAUGGGAAACAGGUUAAUAUUCCUGUACUUGGUGUUACUGCGAAGGGGGGACGGAGAAGGCUAUGUUGGCCGGGCGACGGUUGUCCCGGUUUAAGCGUGUAGGCUGGUUUUCCAGGCAAAUCCGGAAAAUCAAGGCUGAGGCGUGAUGACGAGGCACUACGGUGCUGAAGCAACAAAUGCCCUGCUUCCAGGAAAAGCCUCUAAGCAUCAGGUAACAUCAAAUCGUACCCCAAACCGACACAGGUGGUCAGGUAGAGAAUACCAAGGCGCUUGAGAGAACUCGGGUGAAGGAACUAGGCAAAAUGGUGCCGUAACUUCGGGAGAAGGCACGCUGAUAUGUAGGUGAAGCGACUUGCUCGUGGAGCUGAAAUCAGUCGAAGAUACCAGCUGGCUGCAACUGUUUAUUAAAAACACAGCACUGUGCAAACACGAAAGUGGACGUAUACGGUGUGACGCCUGCCCGGUGCCGGAAGGUUAAUUGAUGGGGUUAGCGCAAGCGAAGCUCUUGAUCGAAGCCCCGGUAAACGGCGGCCGUAACUAUAACGGUCCUAAGGUAGCGAAAUUCCUUGUCGGGUAAGUUCCGACCUGCACGAAUGGCGUAAUGAUGGCCAGGCUGUCUCCACCCGAGACUCAGUGAAAUUGAACUCGCUGUGAAGAUGCAGUGUACCCGCGGCAAGACGGAAAGACCCCGUGAACCUUUACUAUAGCUUGACACUGAACAUUGAGCCUUGAUGUGUAGGAUAGGUGGGAGGCUUUGAAGUGUGGACGCCAGUCUGCAUGGAGCCGACCUUGAAAUACCACCCUUUAAUGUUUGAUGUUCUAACGUGGACCCGUGAUCCGGGUUGCGGACAGUGUCUGGUGGGUAGUUUGACUGGGGCGGUCUCCUCCCAAAGAGUAACGGAGGAGCACGAAGGUUGGCUAAUCCUGGUCGGACAUCAGGAGGUUAGUGCAAUGGCAUAAGCCAGCUUGACUGCGAGCGUGACGGCGCGAGCAGGUGCGAAAGCAGGUCAUAGUGAUCCGGUGGUUCUGUAUGGAAGGGCCAUCGCUCAACGGAUAAAAGGUACUCCGGGGAUAACAGGCUGAUACCGCCCAAGAGUUCAUAUCGACGGCGGUGUUUGGCACCUCGAUGUCGGCUCAUCACAUCCUGGGGCUGAAGUAGGUCCCAAGGGUAUGGCUGUUCGCCAUUUAAAGUGGUACGCGAGCUGGGUUUAGAACGUCGUGAGACAGUUCGGUCCCUAUCUGCCGUGGGCGCUGGAGAACUGAGGGGGGCUGCUCCUAGUACGAGAGGACCGGAGUGGACGCAUCACUGGUGUUCGGGUUGUCAUGCCAAUGGCACUGCCCGGUAGCUAAAUGCGGAAGAGAUAAGUGCUGAAAGCAUCUAAGCACGAAACUUGCCCCGAGAUGAGUUCUCCCUGACUCCUUGAGAGUCCUGAAGGAACGUUGAAGACGACGACGUUGAUAGGCCGGGUGUGUAAGCGCAGCGAUGCGUUGAGCUAACCGGUACUAAUGAACCGUGAGGCUUAACCUU
rnacentral:rRNA from 1 species